rnacentral:rRNA from 1 species
UGGGGAAUAUUGCACAAUGGGGGAAACCCUGAUGCAGCGACGCCGCGUGAACGAAGAAGGUAUUCGUAUCGUAAAGUUCUGUCCUAUGGGAAGAUAAUGACAGUACCAUAGAAGAAAGCUCCGGCUAAAUACGUGCCAGCAGCCGCGGUAAUACGUAUGGAGCGAGCGUUGUCCGGAAUUAUUGGGCGUAAAGGGUACGCAGGCGGUUUAAUAAGUCGAAUGUUAAAGAUCGGGGCUCAACCCCGCAAAGCAUUGGAAACUGAUAAACUUGAGUAGUGGAGAGGAAAGUGGAAUUCCUAGUGUAGUGGUGAAAUACGUAGAUAUUAGGAGGAAUACCAGUAGCGAAGGCGACUUUCUCGACACAAACUGACGCUGAGGUACGAAAGCGUGGGGAGCAAACAGG